rnacentral:tRNA from 1 species
GUCGGGAUAGCUCAGUUGGUAGAGCAGAGGGCUGAAAAUCC